CGGUUUAUUUAACAUGUUGUAUAAUGUAUUAUUAAACCUGUACGUAAAGUUUUGUAAAGCUGUUUCACUUGAUAAAAAAGAGUUUGGGCAAGUUUUAUUUGAUUAGUUAAAAUUUGCAAAGAGCUAUGUUCCUUGAUUUAGUUCAUUUGUGAAAUUCUAAAUUUAUUAUCAAGUGAGAUUGCGCGGAGACAGGUAAACGGGUAUUUGCGACAGUAAAACUACCGAUGGACGUCCGCAAAGCUUCAAAUACAAUACAGUUAUCUCUAUUCUAAUGCAAAACAAGUUCAUAAUUAAAUUUCAAUCAUUAUUUCAGUGUAAAAUCUUCAUUAAAGAAAAUUCCGCGAAAAGAUGUUAUCUUCUUUGGUCCCUACACUAGGUGACGUCAUAG
rnacentral:lncRNA from 1 species